AGUGGGAAACGAUGUGGGAAGGCCCAGACAGCCAGGAUGUUGGCUUAGAAGCAGCCAUCAUUUAAAGAAAGCGUAAUAGCUCACUGGUCGAGUCGGCCUGCGCGGAAGAUGUAACGGGGCUAAACCAUGCACCGAAGCUGCGGCAGCGACGCUUAUGCGUUGUUGGGUAGGGGAGCGUUCUGUAAGCCUGUGAAGGUGUGCUGUGAGGUAUGCUGGAGGUAUCAGAAGUGCGAAUGCUGACAUAAGUAACGAUAAAGCGGGUGAAAAGCCCGCUCGCCGGAAGACCAAGGGUUCCUGUCCAACGUUAAUCGGGGCAGGGUGAGUCGACCCCUAAGGCGAGGCCGAAAGGCGUAGUCGAUGGGAAACAGGUUAAUAUUCCUGUACUUGGUGUUACUGCGAAGGGGGGACGGAGAAGGCUAUGUUGGCCGGGCGACGGUUGUCCCGGUUUAAGCGUGUAGGCUGGUUUUCCAGGCAAAUCCGGAAAAUCAAGGCCGAGGCGUGAUGACGAGGCACUACGGUGCUGAAGCAACAAAUGCCCUGCUUCCAGGAAAAGCCUCUAAGCAUCAGGUAACAUCAAAUCG
rnacentral:rRNA from 1 species